AUUGAACGCUGGCGGCAGGCCUAACACAUGCAAGUCGAGCGAGCGGCGGACGGGUGAGUAAUGUCUGGGAAACUGCCCGAUGGGGGUGGAUAACUACUGGAAACGCUAGCUUAUACCGCAUACCGUUGGAACUGCUCAGAUGGGAUUAGCUAGAAGGUGGGGUAAUGGCUCACCAAGCCUACGAUCCCUAGCUGGACUGAGAGGAUGACCAGCCACACUGGAACUGAGACACGGUCCAGACUCCUACGGGAGGCAGCAGUGGGGAAUAUUGCACAAUGGGCGCAAGCCUGAUGCAGCCAUGCCGCGUGUGUGAAGAAGGCCUUCGGGUUGUAAAGCACUUUUAGUGGGGAGGCGUUACCCGCAGAAGAAGCACCGGCUAACUCCGUGCCAGCAGCCGCGGUAAUAC
rnacentral:rRNA from 1 species